ACGUAGGUGGCAAGCGUUAUCCGGAUUUAUUGGGCGUAAAGAGAGUGCAGGCGGUUUUCUAAGUCUGAUGUGAAAGCCUUCGGCUUAACCGGAGAAGUGCAUCGGAAACUGGAUAACUUGAGUGCAGAAGAGGGUAGUGGAACUCCAUGUGUAGCGGUGGAAUGCGUAGAUAUAUGGAAGAACACCAGUGGCGAAGGCGGCUACCUGGUCUGCAACUGACGCUGAGACUCGAAAGCAUGGGUAGCGAACAG
rnacentral:rRNA from 1 species